UACCUAAUCCUGUGUUCUCUCAUGGUCAACUCUAUGUCGCACUGUCUCGAGCCACCGCAAAGAGAAACAUAAAGAUCCUCAUUGAGAAGGAGAAGGAGAAGGAGAAUGCCAAGAAACAAAGCGGUAAACCUAAGAAGCGAAAAAGACCUGCCUUGUCCUUACAAACCUCGAUGAAGAACAUCGUCUAUAAGGAAGUCCUUACAGGCUGAAGUCCGCUCUUAAGAAGCUGGCGGGUUUUGAAUAAGAUAAAGGAUUUACUCUUUUGCUACAGACAAUUUGGUGCUCUUUCGUGUUCUUGUACAAAUAUUUAUCUUUCGAUGUUAGCAACUGAUUAUGUUUAUUCAACAAGUCAAAUAUUAAUAAUAUUGCCUCGGAUUUGUGACUUUGCAAGUUGCCAAUUAAUAAUAUUAAUAAUAUUGCCUCGUAAUCUUGUUCUUGUGCUCGAUGGGACAAGGAAAGCAACCACUUGUUCCUAUGCAGACUUCUUUGGUGUACAUGAUGAGUUUUGGAUAGAGGGUUCCGACAUUAUCAGAUCCUUAUUCUUCUGCUACAGGGCACCACCAAAUGGGUGCAAGCAUUAAUCAAUAUUCUUCUGCUACAGAUAUGGGUCAGAUUUCCUUGUUAUUGCCUGGAAAUAUUCUCGGUAUAAGAUCGUUUUGACCUGUGCCAAAUGGGUUAUAAAUUAAUUAACAAGGAGUUGGCCUUGCAGAUACAAACUACUAAUUUUUUGGCGAACUCUUCAUAUGAAGUGUCCAUAUAUAAUGGCAUGUACCAAGUAGGAAUCCUCUCUCGGAUAUAUUUCUCUUCCUUAUGUACCCCCUCUGUAAAGAAAUAUAAAAGCAUUUAGAUAACUACUUUAGUGGUCUAAACGCUCUUAUAUUUCUUUAUGGAGGGAGUACUUAUUUCUGACAGACAUACAUGCUCUAUUUUUUGAAGGAGAAGAUUGUACUUGCAGGAUAUAAAACCUAUUGAUUUUUGUCGAGGGACAGUCACGGUGUACUGAAGGUCAACGUUGCACUUAGGCCGGUUGGGUUCUGAAUAUGCAAGAAAAGGAGGAAAAAUUAGCAAGGAUUACAGAUCUUGGUUCAAGAAAAAUGCUGACAAUAUGUUUUGGCGCAUAAUUAGCUCUGAUAGGAAAAAUAUUGUAUCAGAAUUGCAGGAUUCUUCAAUCACCUCAUUAGCAUAUGCCAAAGCCUUGAGGUUACCACUACGAAUGAAGCAAAAUUGUGAAGAUGACUGGGAGAAUGAUUAGCUUAACUUGGCUAGCUUGUACGUGUUGGUUUCUCUCAGCCAAAUGCACCAGCUGACAAAUAAAUUGCAUUGCAAAAUAAGUCGGACAAGUACUCAGGCAUAUAAGGUAUGCACCAACAGGCUUCAGGUGAAAGGCCGGAGAGGAUCUGGUUUGUGUUGGCCGCACCGAAGUGUGGGAAAAGCUGCAUGUAAGGUGGUGGAGAAGGAUGUCAACGAUGUGGACAUUGUCCCUCCGGUGACGCUGGAAGCCGUCCAAGGGUGGAGGAGGUGCGCCUGUGUGACUCAGGUCAGCAGUGGGUGCUUGCUUCCUCAUGGUUUGUUUAUUCGUUUUUUAUGCAGUACAUAUGCAACUUUGUGCUUGUUCAAUACUAUUGUCUAAAAAUACAGAAAUUUUUGGUGUCCAGUAAUGUGUUGCAAUUCUGUUAUCUUUCA